GAUCAUGGCUCAGGAUGAACGCUAGCUACAGGCUUAACACAUGCAAGUCGAGGGGCAGCAUGGUCUAGCAAUAGACUGAUGGCGACCGGCGCACGGGUGAGUAACACGUAUCCAACCUGCCGAUUAUUCCGGGAUAGCCUUUCGAAAGAAAGAUUAAUACUGGAUAGCAUAACGAGAAGGCAUCUUCUUGUUAUUAAAGAAAUUUCGAUAAUCGAUGGGGAGUGCGUUCCGUUAGUUUGG
rnacentral:rRNA from 1 species